UGCAAGUCGAGCGGUAGCACAGAGAGCUUGCUCUCGGGUGACGAGCGGCGGACGGGUGAGUAAUGUCUGGGAAACUGCCUGAUGGAGGGGGAUAACUACUGGAAACGGUAGCUAAUACCGCAUAACGUCGCAAGACCAAAGUGGGGGACCUUCGGGCCUCAUGCCAUCAGAUGUGCCCAGAUGGGAUUAGCUAGUAGGUGGGGUAACGGCUCACCUAGGCGACGAUCCCUAGCUGGUCUGAGAGGAUGACCAGCCACACUGGAACUGAGACACGGUCCAGACUCCUACGGGAGGCAGCAGUGGGGAAUAUUGCACAAUGGGCGCAAGCCUGAUGCAGCCAUGCCGCGUGUGUGAAGAAGGCCUUCGGGUUGUAAAGCACUUUCAGCGGGGAGGAAGGCGAUAAGGUUAAUAACCUUGGCGAUUGACGUUACCCGCAGAAGAAGCACCGGCUAACUCCGUGCCAGCAGCCGCGGUAAUACGGAGGGUGCAAGCGUUAAUCGGAAUUACUGGGCGUAAAGCGCACGCAGGCGGUCUGUCAAGUCGGAUGUGAAAUCCCCGGGCUCAACCUGGGAACUGCAUUCGAAACUGGCAGGCUAGAGUCUUGUAGAGGGGGGUAGAAUUCCAGGUGUAGCGGUGAAAUGCGUAGAGAUCUGGAGGAAUACCGGUGGCGAAGGCGGCCCCCUGGACAAAGACUGACGCUCAGGUGCGAAAGCGUGGGGAGCAAACAGGAUUAGAUACCCUGGUAGUCCACGCCGUAAACGAUGUCGAUUUGGAGGUUGUGCCCUUGAGGCGUGGCUUCCGGAGCUAACGCGUUAAAUCGACCGCCUGGGGAGUACGGCCGCAAGGUUAAAACUCAAAUGAAUUGACGGGGGCCCGCACAAGCGGUGGAACAUGGGGUUUAAUUCGAUGCAACGCGAAAAACCUUACCUGGUCUUGACUUCACCGAACUUUCCAAAAUGGAUUGGUGCCUUCGGAACUGGGAAAAGGGGCUGCUGGCUGCCCCACCUCCGGUUGGAAAUGUUGGUUAAUUCC
rnacentral:rRNA from 1 species